GUUGGGGACUCUAACGAUACUGCCGGUGACAAACCGGAGGAAGGUGGGGAUGACGUCAAGUCCUCAUGGCCCUUACGCGCUGGGCUACACACGUGCUACAAUGGGUGAGACAAUGAGAUGCAAAUCUGCGAAGACAAGCUAAUCUAUAAACUCACUCUAAGUUCGGAUUGUAGGCUGCAACUCGCCUGCAUGAAGUUGGAAUCGCUAGUAAUCGCUGGUCAGCAACACAGCGGUGAAUCCGUUCCCGGGCCUUGUACACACCGCCCGUCACACCAUGGGAGCUGGUUAUGCCCGAAGUCGUUAUACCAACCGUUUGGAGGAAGACGCCUAAGGUAGAGCUAGUGACUGGGGUGAAGUCGAAACAAGGUAGCCGUACUGG
rnacentral:rRNA from 14 species